rnacentral:rRNA from 1 species
AGAGUUUGAUCCUGGCUCAGAUUGAACGCUGGCGGCAUGCCUUACACAUGCAAGUCGAACGGCAGCGCGGGGCAACCUGGCGGCGAGUGGCGAACGGGUGAGUAAUAUAUCGGAACGUACCCUGGAGUGGGGGAUAACGUAGCGAAAGUUACGCUAAUACCGCAUACGAUCUAAGGAUGAAAGUGGGGGAUCGCAAGACCUCAUGCUCCUGGAGCGGCCGAUAUCUGAUUAGCUAGUUGGUGGGGUAAAGGCCUACCAAGGCAUCGAUCAGUAGCUGGUCUGAGAGGACGACCAGCCACACUGGAACUGAGACACGGUCCAGACUCCUACGGGAGGCAGCAGUGGGGAAUUUUGGACAAUGGGCGCAAGCCUGAUCCAGCAAUGCCGCGUGAGUGAAGAAGGCCUUCGGGUUGUAAAGCUCUUUUGUCAGGGAAGAAACGGUGAGGGCUAAUAUCCCUUGCUAAUGACGGUACCUGAAGAAUAAGCACCGGCUAACUACGUGCCAGCAGCCGCGGUAAUACGUAGGGUGCAAGCGUUAAUCGGAAUUACUGGGCGUAAAGCGUGCGCAGGCGGUUUUGUAAGUCUGUCGUGAAAUCCCCGGGCUCAACCUGGGAAUUGCGAUGGAGACUGCAAGGCUAGAAUCUGGCAGAGGGGGGUAGAAUUCCACGUGUAGCAGUGAAAUGCGUAGAGAUGUGGAGGAACACCGAUGGCGAAGGCAGCCCCCUGGGUCAAGAUUGACGCUCAUGCACGAAAGCGUGGGGAGCAAACAGGAUUAGAUACCCUGGUAGUCCACGCCCUAAACGAUGUCUACUAGUUGUCGGGUCUUAAUUGACUUGGUAACGCAGCUAACGCGUGAAGUAGACCGCCUGGGGAGUACGGUCGCAAGAUUAAAACUCAAAUGAAUUGACGG